rnacentral:rRNA from 1 species
UACGUAGGGUGCAAGCGUUGUCCGGAAUUAUUGGGCGUAAAGAGCUUGUAGGCGGUUUGUCGCGUCUGCUGUGAAAUUUCGGGGCUCAACCCCGAACUUGCAGUGGGUACGGGCAGACUAGAGUGUGGUAGGGGAGACUGGAAUUCCUGGUGUAGCGGUGAAAUGCGCAGAUAUCAGGAGGAACACCGAUGGCGAAGGCAGCUUGCUGGGACGGUACUGACGCUGAGACGCGAAAGCGUGGGGAGCAAACAGG